CAUAAGAACAUAUGAUCCAGACAGAAGCAGAAUAAGAACUCAAUCUCAUUUUUCUAGUCAGCACACUGCACAGAGAGUACAAAGGAAUCUUGCUGAGAAGCACAGGCUGCUAGUCAGUGACUCUCCGUACUUAUACUGUCAUCUUUUUUUUUCUAGAACUGUGUUCUAAACCUGCUGAAAUCGUUGUGCACAGGAGAAAAGCAAGCUCAUGUAACCUAAGAUGUAGUUUGAAACAACUGACUUAAAUGGGUAGUUUGGACAUUUUUAUUUCAGUUUUGAAAUGGCAUGAUUCAAUUUGGAUUAUGUAAACUGAGAGUAGAUUUGACAGGGUUAAGGUACACCAUAAGUCAUCCUUAAAUUGAAGUAGGCUUCCCUGUAUGGAGUUUUGCACUUGGUAACUCAAACUAAACCUGAUUUGUUUUCUUAAUGCAAACAGGUUCGAUAAAAGAUUUCUCUCCCUCACGUUACCUGGUGGCUUUCUCUCAUAAUACAAUGCAGUUUGUUGUAGAGUAGCUAAGGAAUAGUUUGCUGCUUGAACUGGCAGGCACACACAGGAUAUAGAAGGUGAAAGGAAACAUAGUAAGUGAUAUAACAAACUUUUGCCAAAUUGAGGUUAGAAAGAAUUUCUAUUUUUCUAUGUAUAUGUGUUAAAAUUCCUAUUUAUUCUGAGGGUAAUGAUAGUAGCCAACAGCCUUUUUCAUGUCUGAUCCGGGGACAAAAGGAUGCUCAGUCAUCUGUUCCUGAGGCAGUCAACACAAAACCUGUGGGAUGGAGAAGCUCCUUUGGCAGAUUCUGAAGAAAAGUGGUGUAUCAGGGAAGGUUUGUUUGUAGCUGAAAGAGGAACUGAGCUAAUACUUGGUAAAAGAAUAAAACUUUGUGUCAUUUUAAUAGUGAAACUUACCUUUUUUUUCCUCACCUGUUUAAAAAAUGCAAGUGGAGUGGUACAAAUGGCCUGUUUAAUACUAUUUUGUAUGUUUUAAGUCUUUUCAGAGUGGACCAUCUCCUGAGGAGGUUUUCCAUUUAUUAGUGUUAGUAUCAGAAUCACUGUCAGAGAAGACAAUGCUUCUAUCGCACCAAGGAUUUGACAGAAAGACUGAAAAGUAAGAAAUCAUGCUCUACGUUUUACAAAAUUACAGCUUUAAGAGGAGGCACAACAGUUUUGAAGUGUCUAUCAUCCAGAAGUAUCAGGCACAAAGGGAGAACUGUCUGACAUCACCUGAGCCUCUGCACACAGUCUGGAUAAGAGAGUGCUUUCUGACUUCCAAGAAAAACACAUGGAAAUGCAAAAAGCUUGCAUCUGGCCUGUUACCUCAUCCUUGGCUACCCGGGCUGCUUGGGAGUUGUCAUGGCAUUCCCAGGUCCUUUUCGCUUGCUACAUGAUAAAUUAAAGACUGUUGAGAGAAGGGACAUUCACAGAAAGGAGACAACACUUAGAGCUCCAACUGUUAGAAGGGAUGAUUUGCCAUUUCUGCAUGAACUGUUCUGUGGUGACAACGUAAAGCACAGCAGUGGAGCCAAGGCCACUGUUGGAGCGUGUCCCUUAGUCUCAGAAAUCAAUUUGCACUUAUUUAGGUUUGUUGUUUUUGUUG